rnacentral:rRNA from 1 species
AUACUGUCAUUAUCAUCUCUGGCGAAAGAGCUUUACGACCCUAAGGCCUUCAUCACUCACGCGGCAUGGCUAGAUCAGGCUUGCGCCCAUUGUCUAAGAUUCCCCA